UACGUAGGGGGCAAGCGUUGUCCGGAAUUAUUGGGCGUAAAGAGCGUGUAGGCGGCCAGAUAAGUCCGCUGUGAAAUCUCGAGGCUCAACUUCGAGCUGUCGGUGGAAACUAUCUGGCUAGAGUCCGGAAGAGGAGAAUGGAAUUCCUGGUGUAGCGGUGAAAUGCGCAGAUAUCAGGAAGAACACCCGUGGCGAAGGCGGUUCUCUGGGACGGUACUGACGCUGAGACGCGAAAGCGUGAGGAGCGAACAGG
rnacentral:rRNA from 1 species